rnacentral:rRNA from 1 species
GAGAGGGUUCGGCCCUCGGCGGACUGCUCAGUAACACGUGGAUAACCUGCCCUAAGGUGGGGCAUAACCCCGGGAAACUGGGGAUAAUACCCCAUAGGUUAGAGAUGCUGGAAUGCACUUUAACCCAAAGCUCCGGCGCCUUAGGAUGGAUCUGCGGCCGAUUGGGUAGUUGUUGGGGUAAUGGCCCAACAAGCCUGUAAUCGGUACGGGUUGUGGGAGCAAGAGCCCGGAGAUGGAUUCUGAGACAUGAAUCCAGGCCCUACGGGGCGCAGCAGGCGCGAAAACUUUACAAUGCGAGCAAUCGUGAUAAGGAAACCCUGAGUGCCUGUUAUCGCGGGCUGUUCUGGUGUCUAACACACACCAGGAGAAAAGGGCGGGGCAAGACCGGUGCCAGCCGCCGCGGU